GGGGGGAUACCACUAACAAAUGGAUGGACAAUACACGAUUCUUCUCCAUUCUUUUCUACACAUUACACACACUCACAUAUGAAAUAGGGAGCUGAUAGACAUAUACAGUAGGCCAUAUACACAUAAAUGGAGAGAAAAAUAGCAUACAGUCACCAUUCUCAUAUAUAUGGCACCUCACUAGACGGAGAGGGGGGUUUUUCCUUUCUCUUCUACACACAGUAAAGCACACACAUAGAGUAGAGAGGGAUGGACAAACACUGAUAUACUCACCAGUGUACACCCACAACAACAUUACACCCAGAAUAAAUCAAUAUACUCACACGCACAUCUUGAUCGGAGAAUAAAAAAUGGGGUAAAGUCGAGUGAAAGCAGAGGGGAGGUUGACCAAAGAAAGGAUUGAGAGAGAGAACUGGUCAGAGAGAGGAAGAGACAAAGAGCAGAAGGAGAUAUUUGAGCGAGAGAGGAGAGAAAAGGGAUUGAGGCUGACUGUUCCGGCGUUCUUGGCCGGGAAUAGCAUCCUUUCGCCAGAAAAUAUUUAAUUCCGGUCACUGCUAAUUUGAAUUGAUCAUUUUUUAUCCUGAAUUUGGUUAAUUUUCAUCUAGAAACAGUCAUAUAGGCUUCUGGUUUUUUUUUGUUCGGAGCCUUGAUUUCGAUUUUGUUUUCGUUUGUUCUUCGUGGAGCCUUGCUCGAAAGCGGGUCUGAGUAAAUUGGAGUUCUAGAUGGAAGUUGUUGAUUUGGGUUCGUGAUUGAGGUUCGACGUUGAGGUUCCUCUUGGACGCGGUUCUAUUCGGAAAGAUCAAUUAAUUGAAAUAAAACGUCAAAUUGAGUAAGGUGUGUUGAUACAAGCAUGAGGAGCACAAGGAUUACAAGUUUCUGUUGAAGGUCCACUUUUCGGAUUUGCAAAGGAAUUGAAGACCUUUUGAAGCCUUUUUCAAAGCCUUGUCCAAGCUCGGGAACUACAAAGACUACAAGGCGCGUUUAUGAAAAUGGACGCGGUUGAGCAUUUCUUAAGUUCAUCCAAGGGAGUGUAUGUAUUAAAGUGUGAAGACAUGCCUUGAGUGCCUUAAAAACACUACAAGUCAGCCCCAUUUAUACACUCCAAACUCACCCCUUCAUUAAGGGUAAAUGUGUCAUUUCCCAUCUCUUUUGUAAUAGACUAUAAGUAGAAAUCCCUUAGUCUUAUUUUUUUAGUUAGCUCAUUCUUGAAAUCACUUGUAAUAUUGAAAAUCACUUUCCUCUCAAGAAGAGAGUAGACCACCACUUUGACAUCACAAGAAAUGGUUUCUAUCA